GUAGUUUUUUAUUGGUCGUCAUGAAAAAAAACAUAAGGGGUAACACUGUUGUUUUUUAUUGGUCGUCAUGAAAAAAAACAUAAGGGGUAACACUGUUGUUUUUUAUUGGUCGUCAUGAAAAAAACAAAAGGGGUAACACUGUUGUUUUUGAUUGGUCGUCAUGAAAAAAAACAUAAGGGGUAACACUGUUUUUUUUUAUUGGUCGUCAUGAAAAAAAAACAUAAGGGGUAACACAGUUGUUUUUGAUUGGUCGUCAUGAAUAAAAACAUAAGGGGUAACACUGUUGUUUUUUAUUGGUCGUCAUGAAAAAAAACAAAAGGGGUAACACUGUUGUUUUUGAUUGGUCGUCAUGAAAAAAAACAUAAGGGGUAACACUGUUGUUU
ensembl:lncRNA